AUAUCCUACGGGAGGCAGCAGUGGGGGAUAUUGCACAAUGGGGGAAACCCUGAUGCAGCGACGCCGCGUGGGCGAAGAAGUAUUUCGGUAUGUAAAGCUCUAUCAGCAGGGAAGAAGAAAUGACGGUACCUGAGUAAGAAGCACCGGCUAAAUACGUGCCAGCAGCCGCGGUAAUACGUAUGGUGCAAGCGUUAUCCGGAUUUACUGGGUGUAAAGGGAGCGCAGGCGGCACGGCAAGCCUGAUGUGAAAGCCCGCGGCCCAACCGCGGGUCUGCAUUGGGAACUACCGGUCUGUA
rnacentral:rRNA from 1 species